rnacentral:rRNA from 1 species
GAUGAACGCUAGCUGGAGGCUUAAUACAUGCAAGUCGAGCGGGAUUGGGUAGCAAUACCCAUGAGAGCGGCGCACGGGUGAGUAACGCGUACACGACCUACCUCUGACAGGGGGAUAGCCCUGGGAAACUGGGAUUAAUACCGCAUAUUAUUCUGAAUAAUAAAGGUUUGGAAUGAAAGCUGAGGCGGUCAGAGAUGGGUGUGCGUCUGAUUAGCUAGUUGGUAGGGUAACGGCCUACCAAGGCGAUGAUCAGUAGGGGGCGUGAGAGCGUGGUCCCCCACACGGGUACUGAGACACGGACCCGACUCCUACGGGAGGCAGCAGUAAGGAAUAUUGGUCAAUGGGCGAAAGCCUGAACCAGCCAUCCAGCGUGCAGGAAGAAGGCCCUAUGGGUUGUAAACUGCUUUUAUCAGGGAAGAAACCUCUGGAUUUACUCCGGAGCUGACGGUACCUGAAGAAUAAGUACCGGCUAACUCCGUGCCAGCAGCCGCGGU